UUGAAUGUACAUCUUGAUUCAGUGAGCGAAUCCUUGAUUUUCCAAAAGGUUGAAGUGGACUUGAUUUUCCACUUCUUGGGAUUUGAUUCAUUGGAUUUAGUAGAUUGAAGAAGCUUCCCCAACUUUGAGGCAAAGGUAAUAAAGGCGGCAAACAGGCGAGGGGCAGGAAGGAAGCGUGAU